CUCUCUCUCUCUCUCUCUCUGGUGUUUAUAGUCCUCUGCAUCCGAAAGCACUCCAUCCACUCACCUUACAUUCUUCAAACUGCACCCGUACGUUCCACAUAGUUACCACUCUACAUGUUUGCAUAAACGUAAGUUGUGUGAUUAAUUAUGAAGGUUUUACAGCUUUGAUUUCUCGGGUCAAAUUGCAUUGGAGGAUAGUGUGAUUGACAAACCUAUAAUGUUAAAUGUCAUGCAAAUUUGUGAUUUGGUAUGUCAUUUUCUUUGUUUAAUGGUUUGAGUAUAUUCCAGAAGUUGUUUAGUGCUGGAAAGUGGAUCUGGGUGGACGGUUCUUGAUCAUUUACAGGACCUGCUUUUUGUUUGUCGAUUGUGGGUAGUUAUAUACAUACAUAUGCCCUUAGUUACUGCCUUUGCUUGGAUCAUAUAUCUGCACCUCUAACUGGCCCAUGGAUGAUGCCUUCAGUUUUUGACGGUCUACUGUGCCUCCAACUGCUCUUAAUGUCCUCAAGAGUGAAAGUGGCUAUGAAGAGCGGCUUUCGUUCUAGCUACGAUUGUGGAGAUUUACAGUACCAGAUACUGAGUUGUGUGUAAAUUGAAAUUCGAGUUGGGUAAUUUCAAAGGUUUGGAAUCUGGAAGUUGAUCUGGAAUCUUGAAGGUGAUCUGCAUCGUGAAUCAGGUGAAUUCGUCUAUUUGUUGUGAUUAUGUGAUUCAGUAUAUUGUUUGUUUUCUGAAGCUGUGAUUUCUUGAUUUGGUGUGUUAAAGAUUUGUUUCAUAUGAAUUGAAGAUUUGGAAUUUUUGUUAGAAUUUUGAUGUGUUGUUCCAAGAAAGUGUCAUUCUUUCUAGAUUUAUCUUGGAGUAUCAUUCUCUAGGAUUUGUGAUUCUGCUGAAGAUUAAGGUUUGUACUUUGGAAGAAGAAAGUAUCAUUUUUCGGUGAAUCUUGGAGUGUUAUUCUCUCAAGAUUGUGAGUUGCAACUUAAAA